AUUAAACGCUGGCGGCAUGCCUUACACAUGCAAGUCGAACGGCAGCACGGGGGCAACCCUGGUGGCGAGUGGCGAACGGGUGAGUAAAGCAUCGGAACGUGCCCUGGAGUGGGGGAUAACGUAGCGAAAGUUACGCUAAUACCGCAUAUUCUGUGAGCAGGAAAGCAGGGGAUCGCAAGACCUUGCGCUCUGGGAGCGGCCGAUGUCGGAUUAGCUAGUUGGUGGGGUAAAGGCCUACCAAGGCGACGAUCCGUAGCGGGUCUGAGAGGAUGAUCCGCCACACUGGGACUGAGACACGGCCCAGACUCCUACGGGAGGCAGCAGUGGGGAAUUUUGGGACAAUGGGCGAAAGCCUGAUCCAGCCAUGCCGCGUGAGUGAAGAAGGCC
rnacentral:rRNA from 1 species